UAUGUACUCCCUCCGACCCAAAAUUCUUGUCUUAAAUUUAUCUAAAUACAGAUGCAUCAAGUGGCGUUUUAGUAUUAGGUACAUCCAUAUCUAGACAAAUCUAAGACAAGAGUUUUGGGAUGGAGGGAGUAUUAA
rfam:Triticum aestivum genome assembly, contig: Triticum_aestivum_CS42_TGACv1_scaffold_327914_4BS